GACGAACGCUGGCGGCGUGCCUAAUACAUGCAAGUCGAACGCACUCUCGUUUAGAUUGAAGGAGCUUGCUCCUGAUUGAUAAACAUUUGAGUGAGUGGCGGACGGGUGAGUAACACGUGGGUAACCUGCCCUAAAGUGGGGGAUAACAUUUGGAAACAGAUGCUAAUACCGCAUAAAACCUAACACCGCAUGGUGUAGGGUUGAAAGAUGGUUUCGGCUAUCACUUUAGGAUGGACCCGCGGUGCAUUAGUUAGUUGGUGAGGUAAAGGCUCACCAAGACCGUGAUGCAUAGCCGACCUGAGAGGGUAAUCGGCCACACUGGGACUGAGACACGGCCCAGACUCCUACGGGAGGCAGCAGUAGGGAAUCUUCCACAAUGGACGAAAGUCUGAUGGAGCAACGCCGCGUGAGUGAAGAAGGUUUUCGGACCGUAAAACUCUGUUGUUGGAGAAGAAUGUAUCUGAUAGUAACUGAUCAGGUAGUGACGGUAUCCAACCAGAAAGCC
rnacentral:rRNA from 1 species